ACAGUGGUUGUUGAGGUAGUGGAUGUUAGUGUACUUGGAGACGUUGUAGUAGGAGUACACUGGUAGUCUGGUUCACAACAUUUGAGACGUAUUUCAUAAUUAUAACAAAGUGGUGGCAUGCCAUUUGAAUUGUCUUCAUUUGAACAUGACAGUCCAAAUGAUGUAUUGCAAUAAAGUGUUUGUCCCAAAUCUUGCAGAGACUUUUGGGGAUAAUUUACUGCCCUACAUUCAAUCACUUCAGGGCUCUGACAGAUAAUCUUUCCUGAAUUCCACAAUUGAUCAAUGGAUUCAGUUUCGAAUCCUUCUGGCUCUGUACUGGGUGUGUUGCCAUCAAUCCAAUCUGACCAUGUGCAUCUAUCAGCACAGAUGGGAGUUGUUGUUGUAGCAGUAGUUGUACUAAUUGUAGAUGGUGUUUCUGUUGAAGUAGGUGUUAUUGUAACAGUUGUAGGUGAUGUUUCUGUUGACGUAGGUGUCGAUGUUCCAGUAGUUGGAGUAGUAGUGGAUGUGAUUGUGGGUGAUGUUUCUGUUGACGUAGGUGUCGAUGUUCCAGUAGUUGUAGUGGUAGUGGAUGUGAU